AGUGAACGCUGGCGGCGUGCCUAAUACAUGCAAGUCGAACGAUGAAGUCCUAGCUUUCUAGGAUGGAUUAUUGGCGCACGGGUGAGUAAUAUAUAGUUAAUCUGCCCUACACAGAGUAACAACAGUUGGAAACGACUGCUAAUACCUCAUACUCCUAUUUGACAUAAGUUAAAUAGGGAAAGUCUUUUCGGUGUAGGAUGAGACUAUAUCGUAUCAGCUAGUUGUUGAGGUAAUGGCUUACCAAGGCUAUGACGCGUAACUGUUCUGAGAGGAUGAUCAGUCACCUACGAAAUGGAACAGGGUCCAAACUCCCACGGGGGGCGGAAGCAAGGAAUAUCGCGGCAUGGGGGAAACCCAAACGCAGCAACGCCGAGUGGAGGGUGACUCUUUUAGGGGGUAAAUCUACUUUUCUGAGCAAAGCAUGAGGACGGCAAAUCAUAAAUGCACAACGGACAACGCC
rnacentral:rRNA from 1 species